AGCAGUCGCCGCGGGAAUACGGAGGGUGCAAGCGUUAUCCGGAUUUAUUGGGUUUAAAGGGUCCGUAGGCGGAUCUGUAAGUCAGUGGAGAAAUCUCACAGCUUAACUGUGAAACUGCCAUUGAUACUGCAGGUCUUGAGUAAAUUUGAAGUGGCUGGAAUAAGUAGUGUAGCGGUGAAAUGCAUAGAUAUUACUUAGAACACCAAUUGCGAAGGCAGGUCACUAAGAUUUAACUGACGCUGAUGGACGAAAGCGUGGGGAGCGAACAGGAUUAGAUACCCCCGUAGUCCCUGUCUCUUAUAC
rnacentral:rRNA from 1 species